rnacentral:rRNA from 1 species
GGACGCAAGUCUGAUGGAGCGACGCCGCGUGAGUGAAGAAGGGUUUCGGCUCGUAAAGCUCUGUUGGUAGUGAAGAAAGAUAGAGGUAGUAACUGGCCUUUAUUUGACGGUAAUUACUUAGAAAGUCACGGCUAACUACGUGCCAGCAGCCGCGGUAAUACGUAGGUGGCAAGCGUUGUCCGGAUUUAUUGGGCGUAAAGCGAGUGCAGGCGGUUCAAUAAGUCUGAUGUGAAAGCCUUCGGCUCAACCGGAGAAUUGCAUCAGAAACUGUUGAACUUGAGUGCAGAAGAGGAGAGUGGAACUCCAUGUGUAGCGGUGGAAUGCGUAGAUAUAUGGAAGAACACCAGUGGCGAAGGCGGCUCUCUGGUCUGCAACUGACGCUGAGGCUCGAAAGCAUGGGUAGCGAACAGGAUUAGAUACCCUGGUAGUCCAUGCCGUAAACGAUGAGUGCUAAGUGUUGGGAGGUUUCCGCCUCUCAGUGCUGCAGCUAACGCAUUAAGCACUCCGCCUGGGGAGUACGACCGCAAGGUUGAAACUCAAAGGAAUUGACGGGGGCCCGCACAAGCGGUGGAGCAUGUGGUUUAAUUCGAAGCAACGCGAAGAACCUUACCAGGUCU